rnacentral:rRNA from 1 species
AUAACAGGAUGACCGACCUAGAAGAAAGGUCUUGCCUAACCCAUACGACAGCGAUGAGUAUAGAAAUAUUAGGUCAUAUUAUUAGGUGAUUUGUGCACCGAAAAGUUCUCUUUUUUCCUUUUCUUUCCUCUUUUAUCUUUUGUUCAUCAUUACGCAAGGUGCACGACGGUUAGUAAGUGUGCUUCUUCUCAGAAACAAAAAAAGAACUCGAUGUGACCUUCUUCGCAACUAAUCGUGAGAUCUCGAGUUAGUUAGGGGUCGCCGGUGGAAAUCAGGGGUUGAGGCCGCUCUGUUCGUCGCCGCUCUCCCGUCUCCGUUCCCCUUGACAAGACAAGCGGCGACGUUCUCCCUGCCCCUCGGCCGGGCCGCCGCGUCGCCGUGGCCGUGGCCGUGGUGCGAGUAGGGGUGCUUCAAGGCACCAGUUCGACGGAGGUCACUUAUAUAACUUACUUGAUGUUUAGACAUUUAGUACGUAAAAGAUUAGGGUCGGAUCAACUUCCUCGGAUCAAUGACUUCAGGGAGACAACCUAGUUUCAGAAGGAAAAAGAUGUCUUGUCUUCUCAUUAGAGGGAGACGUCAAUCAGAUAGGACACCAAUGACUCAUUGACCUUUCGACCUGGAUGACCGGAGUCAAAAGAGUGCGAAGUUCCCGCGAGACGAUAUUUUAGCGAUUACCUAAUGGCUCUAUGACGUCGUGAUUUACUGGAACUCGAGUACGAUGAUCUACUUUGCCGACUGGGUUUCCGGAAUGGUGAUAGUGAAGACUUUCUGUAGUGUUUACUAAAGAGAUUACUAGCUGUUUAGCCAUCUCCACCGAAACGUCACCAUAUAUUCCCUCAUGAACUCUCACCAUGUCAGCGACACUUCUCCAACUCGCUAUACACAUACCUACUCUUCUUUAAGGUACCUCUCCAAGUUACAAACUACUUCCGUUCCGUGUUUUUGUAUCAUGCCAAAAACCCUAUAACACGACUGUGUGUUCCCUUAUACAACUCGAUGUUGCCUUUUAAUCAGUACCGUCUACAUGCCGUUUCUAACGAAACGAAGCUUAUGUACAGGUUUCCCUCAGAUGCACUAAUAUAGUCACUACUCAGAACACCUGAACUUACCUCUUUCGCGAUGGUUUAAUAGUUGCCUUAAACGGUUCCAAAUUUAAUAGAGGUACUCUUAGCAUAACAAGUGAAUCUAGACUUUGGUCUUUUACAUGAGGAUCUACUGUUAUACCAUGGUUUCUAAUGACUGAAACCAGAGAGUUCCAUAAAACUCCUUUCCGUUUGAUCGGUUAGAUAAUGAAGUUUAUAAAGACCAUGUGACCCUAUAUAACGUGGUCUUGAGAUGCUACCCCUUUUUUAGUGUUAGGUCAGUCUAUAUAUAUCAGAACCAUAAUAUUAGUAUCUCUAUGAUUGUCCUUCUUUUCCCACAGGGCUGCAACCUCAACAUGAACUCUCUACCACACUUUCCAACCCUUUUAGUGAUCUUCUGUGUGUACACCUUGUUCAUGCUCAAACGUGACUUUAUCCCUAUCUCACGUCACUGAAGUUAGGUCGUUUCUCCGGACAAUCAUGUGUGUUCUAUUAGCUUUCCGAGUUCCUUUGUCUUUGAUGUCUACUCCAUAGGUCACAGAAUAGGUCGUAACAUGGGUGGUUUGAUAAACAGGUAGGCGUAGAGGAGACGAAAGGGACGCAUGGCUUGUUCGACUAGGGUUCAAGCGACUUGGAAUCUUUGAAGUGUCUACUUGUAAAACGUAAAUCCGAACACCUUAGGAUACGUCUUCUUUGAGUCGCUGCGAAACGGUUUAACGGUGACAUGCCUCAGCACAGCGGCUCCAGUUGUGUGUGAGAAUCAAACUGUGAGGUCCUUGCCCUGCUUUUUAGGUAAGUAAACCAUGAUCUCUCGUCAUGUAAAUUCCUACGUGUAUACGGUUACAUGACAUCGCUUAAAUCUCCCCUGUUUAAAAAUCUUCUUUGGUUUCUCUUUCCAUUAUACCACGUCGUUCACUAUCACUUUCGACAACGAUGAUGACGUGUCGCUCUCUAUUGCAGACUCGAUUAGGGUUUAUUUUGCUUCUAGAAUAAGUUCUUCUCGGGUAAGUGCAGAGACCUGACGGUUCUACAAUUGGAUUGGUUCGUUACCUAUUAUUGUCCGGUAUGUGCCCCUAUACAAACGUAAACCCUGCCAGUUUGUGUCUCCUUUCAUCUAAGCAAAUUUCAGAGGUGGCUGUUUCAACAAAACCAAUUUAAAUAGCAUGCUUUUGUUACCAAACACCGACCUCGGCCUCUACCGAAAUAAGUGUAGAUGUUAAUGCUUUGCUUUGCCGUCGUUCAGGGUUCAAAGUGUCGAGUACGACCCUUGAACUGUAGUAACCGGCAAGUAGGUUCGUUUGGCAUGAACUACAGUACCUCAAGACUACUUUACUUCGAAACCCUAACCCUGUUUCGGACCCUCACGUGUGUUUGCAAGUUCACGUUUGUGAGCCCAAUAUAAACAGUUCAGUACAAAUUGGGUUUUUUGUGGGUGUCAAAACAGUGACGGAGUCGGUUAGUGUACUAUCUCCAAACCCUAAAACUAAGAGGAGUUACAUUUAUGCGUGAGAGACCCGUGACCCUGUCUCAAUUGACGGAACUAAAGAAGUGUGUACUGUUAGUCGUCAUAAACUAAUGACCGAGAUCACUAACAUCGCGCUUCUAUACCCUGUACGUGUCGUUAUACACAUGAGUAUGUGAUGUGCGAAGGUACAGAGGCCAAUACAGACAGUAUAAAGUAGGGUUAGAAGUCCAAGAUUAAUGUCCAAAUCUUCUACCGUGACAAAUAAACACCUCAAGUUGAUUAAAGUCCGAACUCUCCUAAUAAUCGGGAGGACAUUCACUUGGGGGACGAACCCCAAAGCCUACCUAUAUGUUAUAAAAAUCGUCGGGGCAUUCACUUGUACAAACCCCAGAGCGUACAAGCUACUUCAGUUUUCCCAAACACAAACCUUCUCCUCUCUGCCAUCGUUACCACCUACAGCCGUUACAUUUAUUAGUCCUUCUUAGUUCAGUAGUGUCACAUGGCGUCUAUUCUCGACUGUAUUGAUGAGUCAACUAGCUGUUGUCACCCGAUGAACUUCACGUGGGCAGACUGGAGGCGAAGGGGAACGUUGGUUUGUUCAGUUGGUGCAAGAGUGACCUGGAUUGUUUGGUGUGUAUACUCGCGCACCGUAAAUCCGAACAUGUCUUCUUAUUCUCGGUGAGCAAGCCCCUUCUUCUUCUAAGUGAAAAUAGUUUACACGGCUAAAUACCUAAAUAUCGAAGGUCCAGGUGCAUGUGAGAUCAGCACUGUUGCUUUCUCACCGGUUUAGUUCCUCUGCUGUGUUCGAACCUAGACGAAGACGUCUCGUCAUAUAGCCCCCUGUUCAAGUAGCAGGGUAAGCUUUUGCUCUGACUCACACAACUAGAUAAACUCCUUAAUUUUCUCUACCCCUUACACCACGUACUUAGCUGUGACUUUCGACAAAAAAUACGUGUUCUUCUCCACUGUGUGCUCUAGUAUAGUCGGUGCUUCUUUCAACUACGUGAACCUAAGCCGUUAUCCGACCACACGGAUCUACGUGUAGGUUGUCUCUGUACCUAGAAUUGUACGUUCAAAAAACCUCUACAAGUGUACACCCUAGAACAGAGAGUCCUUUUCUUCCGGGAGACAAGAAAAGUACAGAUGCUCUUACCUUGUUCUCCCCAUAGUCGCUGUCAAUUUAAGGAAUUUAAAUAGCGUGCCUUCGUUACCAAAGACCGACCACGUCUGCUACCGAAGUAGGUACACACGUGGAUGUCUUGUCUCUAUCAUGUUGUCUAGUGCUCAAAGUCUCGGCCAAGAAGGUCACAGUGUCGUUACUGGUAGGUAGGUUGGGUCGGUAUACACGACAGGAGCCGAAUACUUUCGGGCUAAUCCGAAACCUUGACCCUUCUCCCGACCGUCACGUGUGCUUGAAAGCUGCUACUUGUGAGACCUUGACAGGCAGUCUAGUGGAAGUUGGGUUUCCUACGGUUGACAAAACGAUCGCGCAGGCUUCUAGUCUGUCAUUUCCAAACCUUGGAACUGAGGGGCUUUAGAUCGAUGUGAGACAAACCCGUAAACCGAGUUCACUUGACGGAACUAAAGAAGCGUGUACCACUAGUUGUCAUAGACUAAAGACCGAGUCUACUGAACUGGCGGUCCUAUACCCUGGACCUCUUGUCCCACACACAGAUGUGUUAUUCUCGAGAGUACCGAGGCCAAGAAAGUCAAGAUACAGAAGAAGGACUAGUAGGUAUAGAUUAAUAUCCAAAUUUUCUACCGUGAGAAGUAAACAAGUCGAGGCGAUCAAAAUCCGAACACUCCUAGUAACUGAAUCCGACAUCGUUUCAAGCGUCACAGUUAGACUACCCUAGUCAUUCCCAACACUAACUUGUUCUCCCCCGUCACAGUUAGUACCUAUAUCUGGGACUUGUUGUUCCACCAUAAUAGUCACUUCACCCCCGAUUGUACCAGCUACGUCGCUCUAACCUACAACGAACCCUUCGUGUUGAUCUGUAGAAGGUUCUUGGGUUUCUCCUAAACGGUCCACGUCACAGUCCCUGUCCUUUAUGCUUAAGGUGUGUCCGCAGGCUCCUUACGCUACCCUAUAUUGUUAUCUAAUCACGAAUGUCUUUAAGCGGGGGUUUCUUUUAUUAAAUCGUUCACUAAUGUGGUCGUACUCAUUGUCUUACUUUCGAUUUAGAUAAACACGCUUUUGUCUACCUACUUCUCGUCUUUUAUUCCUAACACCCACCUACAACCGAUUAGGAGAGGUGACUAAAAAACAACAACACUUUGACUACCAGAGAUGUGACUAUAUAUGUGACGUAUAUAACGAACCAUUUUAAAACCUGUCUACCUCUUGAGCACACGAAAAGAAUAAGAACAUACUCUUUAAUAUCCGUUCUGGAACUUUGGCGUUAAACAGAUUACCUGUGCAGGAAUACGGUUGAGCUCGAGAGAUAGAUACAACACUUUAAACCGACCGUCCCAGUAAACGAAUGACGAAGGAGACAUUUGUUUAUGAAUCACUGGAUUUUGCAGAAUAUAAACAAAUGUCACCCUCAUCAUUAUACAAACGUAACGAAAUACUAUCUGUGUUUGUAAUGUACGUAGUGAUGUA